UACAGAGGUCUCAAGCGUUGUUCGGAUUCAUUGGGCGUAAAGGGUGCGUAGGUGGCGUCGUAAGUCAGGUGUGAAAUUUCGGAGCUUAACUCCGAAACUGCAUUUGAUACUGCGGUGCUUGAGGACUGGAGAGGAGACUGGAAUUUACGGUGUAGCAGUGAAAUGCGUAGAGAUCGUAAGGAAGACCAGUGGCGAAGGCGGCCC
rnacentral:rRNA from 1 species